rnacentral:rRNA from 1 species
UAAAAAGCUCGUAGUCGAAUCUGUGUCCCGCGCCGCCGGUUCAUCGCUCGCGGUGUUUAACUGGCGUGUUCGCGGGACGUCCUGCCGGUGGGCUUAGCCCCCCAAGGCGGCCCAACUUCAAAUCCCACCGCGGUGCUCUUCACUGAGUGUCGAGGUGGGCCGGCACGUUUACUUUGAACAAAUUAGAGUGCUUAAAGCAGGCUAAAACUUUGCCUGAAUACUGUGUGCAUGGAAUAAUGGAAUAGGACCUCGGUUCUAUUUUGUUGGUUUUCGGAACCCCGAGGUAAUGAUUAAUAGGAACGGAUGGGGGCAUUCGUAUUGCGACGUUAGAGGUGAAAUUCUUGGAUCGUCGCAAGACGGACAGAAGCGAAAGCAUUUGCCAAAAACGCUUUCAUUGAUCAAGAACGAAAGUUAGAGGUUCGAAGGCGAUCAGAUACCGCCCUAGUUCUAACCAUAAACGAUGCCAGCUAGCGAUCCGCCGACGUUCCUCCGAUGACUCGGCGGGCAGCUUCCGGGAAACCAAAGCUUUUGGGUUCCGGGG